UACGAAGGGGGCUAGCGUUGCUCGGAAUCACUGGGCGUAAAGCGCACGUAGGCGGAUUGCUAAGUCAGGGGUGAAAUCCUGGAGCUCAACUCCAGAACUGCCUUUGAUACUGGCGAUCUUGAGUCCGGGAGAGGUGAGUGGAACUGCGAGUGUAGAGGUGAAAUUCGUAGAUAUUCGGAAGAACACCAGUGGCGAAGGCGACUCACUGGCCCGUUACUGACGCUGAGGCGCGAAAAGCGUGGGGAGCAAACAGGG
rnacentral:rRNA from 1 species